AGCGAACGUUAGCGGCGGGCCUAACACAUGCAAGUCGAGCGAGAAAGGGGCUUCGGUCCCGAGUACAGCGGCGGACGGGUGAGGAACACGUAGGUAAUCUGCCUUUCAGUGGAGGACAACGGUCCGAAAGGACCGCUAAUACUGCAUACGUUCCUUGGGACUCCGGUCCUGGGGAGGAAAGCCUCGCAAGGGGGCGCUGGAAGAGGAGCCUGCGUCGCAUCAGCUAGUUGGUGGGGUAACGGCCUACCAAGGCGAAGACGCGUAGCUGGUCUGAGAGGAUGAUCAGCCACACUGGGACUGAGACACGGCCCAGACUCCUACGGGUGGCUG
rnacentral:rRNA from 1 species